GGGAAUGGAUACAUUAAAGAAUAUUUACACUGUAUCAGUCAGGGUACAACCUGGAAAACAGAAACCACAAUACAUACUUCAAACAGAGGAGAUUUAAUACAGGGAGUUAGUUACACAGGCACUGGACGGCUGAAAGAAGCCAAAGGGAGCACUGAGGUAAUCCUGGAAGGAGAAUGUCAGGAAGCAGCUACACCUCGUAAGGUGGAGAACACAAGGGAAAGGAGGCUGGGGGGUUACAGACCCAGAAACUUGGAGGAGAGUCCUGAGCAACUAGAGCUCUGACCUCUAAGGAGGGGACACCACCUGAGAGGAUGCAAUGAGGCUAGUGCUGGGAGUGAGAAAAGAAAUUGGAGGCUAAACGCCACUGAACCAGUUGCCAUCAAGAUGACUCCGGCUCGUAGUGACCCCAUGUGUGUCAAAGUAGCAUUGUGCUCCACAGGGUUUUCAAUGGCUGAUUUUUUCAGAAGUAGAUUGUCGGGCCUUUCUUCAGAGGUAUCUCUGGGGAGACUCAAUCCUCCAAAGUUUCUGUUAGCAGCCAAGCACAUUAACCAUUUACACCACACGGGGACUUCUAAAAAUCAUUAAACCCAUUACUAUGGAGCCCAUUCUGACUCACGGUGACCCAGUGAGUGCCAGGGUAGAACUUCACGCCCUAGGGUUUUCGAUGGCUGAAGUAGAUCAUCAGGACUUUCUUUUGAGGUACGACUGGGUGGAUUCAAACCGCCAACCUUUUGGUUAGUAGCUACGUGCAAACUGCUUGCGUCACCCAGGACUUCUAAGUGUCACCACCGGAGCCAAACUGCAAGCAACUGGGAUAGAAAAGGAAGGCAGCUAUUCUCUUCUCCUCCCACCUUCUAAUCUUCAGCGCCGCCUACUGGCAGAAUCUAACAGGGCACCAGCGGACAAGGAAAUGUAGCUGCGGAGUCCCGCCCCAGUAUCACAGACCAGAGUUUAGACCGGUAGAUUUGGACCUGAGACAAAAUAGGCAAAAAUUGGCACACAUACUAAAAAAUAUAAUUACUAUAUAGCAUUGAAAACCAUAAGCAGUGACUGCAUAUAACAACAUACUGGAAUCUUAGAAACAAAGUUGAGUGAAAAAGCCCUAGACUAUAUCAAACAUAUCAUUUCUAACAAGCUCAAAAACAAGGAAAUCCACAUAAAUACAUAAUUUAAGGAUAUGUCGUUAUGUGAUGAAAAAGUUUUGUUUUGUUUUUAAAGAAGUAAUUUUUUUUUUAGUAAACACAAUAUAGGGCGGUGUUUACGUCUUGCUGGGGGAGACAGGAGAGGGCUGAAGAACAACACAAAGGAGGACAGAAGUUGUUAAGAGAUGUUCUAGUACUCGUGUUGGGUGGCACGUUCAUGGGUGUUUAUUAUAUUAUGUUUUAUAAAUAAUAUUUUGUUAAAUACUUUAUAUGCUCAAAAUAUUAUAUUUUAAAGGAUAUGUGAGAAAUUCCUCAGAGAAUAAGAAGGAAGGGAAUCUAAGCUGGAAGGAGGCCAGGGGAAAUAACUAGAGUGGCCGUGGACAGCGUAGACAGCGAAUGGACAGCGGGGCCGACGGCUCUAGAGGAGGGGCAGACGUUGGAAGGAAGCUGCGGAGCCCGGCGGCGAGACUGCAGGGCCGCUCUGGCCCACACGAGGGCGCCCCACAGUGCCACGUCUGGGCUGUGGGGGUGGCCAGAAUGGAGUGGAGGACAGGAAGGAGGCCUUUUGGGAGGGAGAGUUGGGAGGGAAACGUCCUGUGUGCUCGCAGACCGGCCCUCUCUCCAGGUUUCCUGUGUGCUCAAGCCUUGAAGAAGAUGGACAUCCAGUUUUGCCAGCACCAUUCGUUAAAAAGACUGUCUUUUCCCCAUUUGAUGAACUUUGGACCCCUGUAGAAGAUCAGGAGAGAAAGCAGUCAACAAGACAGACAUGGACCCUGCCCUCAUGGAUCUUAGAUUCUGGGAAAGAAAAACAAACAGGUUCUGCUCCAGCCCAUCAAUAUCAAUACUGUUCCCUGCACCCCACAGAGGUUUUUUAGAGACAGAAAGAAGCAGGAAGAGAAGCAACAAGCAGCAGCAGAAGGGAGGAAGAGAGAGGAGUGAAGAAACAGAAAGGGAGCGCAAGGAACCUCCUACAAGGGCUGUAACAUGGAUCAAGGCCUAUAAUGCUGAAGAUGACGACAGGUCAAGAAGGGGCCCAGUGGCAGAGCCAAUAGCAACAGAGGCAGGACAAAGAGGAGCCUGUCAUCAAGGGGUCCAGAGGAGGCCUGUGUGACCAAGAGGAGCUGAGAAUGCUGUCCUGUACUGAAGAAGGGACACUGCCUACAUGGCUCCGGAUCCUGAGUUGUAGCCUGUUGAUCCUGAUCCCAAGUUGUACCAUUACAUCCUUAAUAAACCACUUAACUGUAAGUAUGGUCUGUGAGUUGUGUGUAGCCACUGUAAUGAAUUAUCAAACCCAGAAGAGAAGUAGAGAGUGCCGUGGGAGGGACGGCCGGUAUCAGAAUUGGUAAAAAAAGGUUGGACAGUGGAGGUAUGUCUGACCUCUACCUCACAGGGAUCAGCCUUGGACUGAUCUUGAUUCACAUUAUCCCCCCUGAAGUUAGACAGGCUCUGAAUACACUAUUACUACUAAUCCCAUUUUAUAUGUGGUUAUGAUUUUUUUAUAGCAGCUUUAUUAAGAUAUGAUUUAACAGAGGCAGGGCCAAGAUGGUGGAGUAGUCAGAUGCUUCCUGUGGUCUCUCUUAAAACAAAGACCCAAUAAACAAGUGAAUAAAUUAUAUAUGACCAUCUAGAAGCCCUGAACAUCAAAGACAAAGUUGAGGAGUUGGACUGAGCGGCAGGGGGAGGGAGAGACAGUUCAGAAGCAGCACGGAUUUGUCAGAUCUGACCUGGCCAGCACCCUGCAGGCUGGAUCAGGCAAUGCGUGUGGGCUGAGGGAAGCAGUAGCACCCAGGACGUGUUUUCCACAUGGGGAGAAACCGAGCGGUGGAAAGUCUACACAAGGCUCUGGAAUCAGGGAGAAGCGACACUGAGUCUGUGAAACUUAAGUGCAAGCAUCUAACCUACUGCA